rnacentral:rRNA from 1 species
GACGUAGGAGGCGAGCGUUGUCCGGAUUCAUUGGGCGUAAAGAGCACGCAGGCGGUUUGGCAAGUCGGACGUGAAAAUCCGGGGCUCAACCCCGGACCUGCAUCCGAAACUGCCCGACUAGAGGUAGGUAGGGGAGAUCGGAAUUCCUGGUGUAGCGGUGAAAUGCGCAGAUAUCAGGAGGAACACCGGUGGCGAAGGCGGCAUCCUGGACCGGCAUUGACGCUGAGGCGCGAAAGCCAGGGGAGCAAACGGG